GAUGAACGCUAGCGGCAGGCUUAAUACAUGCAAGUCGAGGGGCAGCACAGAUAGCAAUAUUGGGUGGCGACCGGCAAACGGGUGCGGAACACGUACACAACCUUCCUUUUGGUGGGGGAUAGCCUUUGGAAACGGAGAUUAAUACCCCAUAAGAUAUUGUGACCGCAUGGUUAUGAUAUUAAAGAUUUAUUGCCAGAAGAUGGGUGUGCGUAUGAUUAGGUAGUUGGUGGGGUAAAGGCUCACCAAGCCGACGAUCAUUAACUGGUGUGAGAGCACGACCAGGCACACGGGCACUGAGACACGGGCCCGACUCCUACGGGAGGCAGCAGUAAGGAAUAUUGGUCAAUAGACGGAAGUCUGAACCAGCUAUGCCGCGUGGAGGAUGAAGGUCCUCUGGAUUGUAAACUUCUUUUAUAUGGGGCGAAAAAGGGCCAUUCUUGGUCAACUGACGGUACCAUAUGAAUAAGCACCGGCUAACUCCGUGCCAGCAGCCGCCGUAACAC
rnacentral:rRNA from 1 species